AGAAAGAGUGUAAUAAGUUGCUCUUGAGUGACCUACACAAAAUAAGAAAAAUAAGCCUCCCAAAAAAGAUGAAUAUGAAAUAAUCAAUAAAUAAUGAACAAAUACUUUGUGCCCUCACUAUCCCUCUUUUUAGUACCUGAUGAUCAAUUUCAGACACAUAUCCUCCUUAUAACCUCUUCAUGUUAGGCCAUGGUUGUCCGUACAUUCUUCCGUCUCCUACCAAGAUCAUAGCCAUCUCUCUUUUACUAGUGUAUUUCAACAAAAAUUGUUAGGCACGACUCCAUUAUAAUGACUCAUUAAAAAUAGGCUAACAAAAGGUGAAAGACAAUAAACUUGUCUUUUUUAGACAAUAAGGAUAGAGAGUUCUUGCAUGAUAACAACAAUAUACCCAGUAUAGUCCCACAAAGUGGCUCUGGGAGAGUAAACUACAUCUACACCGAGACGUUAUUUUUUAUGUGCUCAAGGAAAAAAAUAGUCCAAAGAAGUUCGAAAAGGAAGCAAUAACCAAAAAAUAACACACAGUAAUAAAACAUAAAUAACAAUAAACAAUAUAAUAAUUGAGGUAUGAUACCAAUUAUGAAAUUUCCCACCUUGAGUUAUUGAUUACAUUUUAACAUAAAUAAGGCAACCCAUAAGAAACAAACAGUCAACGGAAGAAUCUAACAUUUGCAAAUAAACUGUCUUCCAGUAGCUACUAAAUGAAAAACAGAUAAAGAUAGAUACCUUUAUGUUGAAAACCUCCAUAAAUGUGAAAAUGUCAUGAACUAAUUCUUGAAAGUUUGCAAGCAUCAGUUGGAACUCUUUUUCCAUGUAUACUUUUUUGUGAGAGCACAAUUAAAGUUAAAAAACAUGAAAACUUGUAUUAAAGUGCAAAUAUCAUGUCACAAAUUAAUUCUUGAAAGCUUGCAAGUAUAAGCUGAAACUCUUUUUCUAAGUACACUU
rnacentral:lncRNA from 1 species